rnacentral:lncRNA from 1 species
CCGAACCUCUUCGGGAGACUACUUCUCGCGGUAUCUGACUCCUAGGCUCCGCCCUCUGCACGCCGCUCACGGUAUCUGACGCUCAGGCUCCGCCCCCUGCAUGUCUUUGUUGGCAAACAGUUCUGGGGGUCGUCCGAUCCUGCAGGCUGGGAAGUUCAAGCACAUGGCUCUAGCUUCUGGUGAGAGGUUUCAGGCUGCGUCAUAAUAUGGCAGAGAAGAUCAAUGGGUAAAUGGACAUGUGUGAAGAAAGGCAAAACCAGAGACCGUCCAGGCUGGACUUGAACUCCUUCCUCGGCUGAAGUGAUCCUCCUGCCUCAGCGUCCUGAAUAGGAAGUGGAGCCAGAAUCCACAGAUGUCAUUAUCCAUCUGCACACUUUGUUUACUACCCAGAAGGCAAGAAUAUUGCAUUUUAAAAGUGCCCGGACUUUUGUUCUUUCUUAUCACAAAUGACUUGGGAAGCUCCGACCACUCAUGUUUACCCCGAGUGAAAGUCCCAUUCAAAGCCUUGCUUCCUGGAGAGCUUUGAGAUUCUGGUACAAAAGGCAUUUUAUAAGCACAAAGUGGAAAAGCAUCAUUCAUAUUCAUUUGCUGCUGCGGCAUUUCUCCCUGGAAUCUUCCUCUUGUCUGUCAACAUUGGGCAAAAGGACUGGCCUCAUCUACAUUACAGAUAUCCUUGUGAUGGUCUGGAGGGACCUGUGGGAGAGGCGGCCAUCCAGAGGGCUCUCUGAGGGGUCAUUUAGAAUGCAACUCUUCUGGGCAGAGGAUGGUCUGCACUGGCCUCCACCACGCAGGAAGGCUUCCAGAGUGGAGAAAUGUCCACUAACAUGGCUUCUGUGAGGUAUCAUUCUGAUCAUUGUUGUUACAGGAGAGAUGAGAGGAAGUUAGAGGGGCUAGAAGAACCAGGAGACCUGUUGAAAAUCAUGAAUACAAAGAGAGGUCGUUUGCUUCUGUGCUUCAAUUCUAUAAUAAAAUGAGUACAAUGUCA